GUAGGUGGCAAGCGUUGUCCGGAUUAUUGGGCGUAAAGCGCGCGCAGGUGGUUCUUGAGUCUGAUGUGAAAGCCCACGGCUCAACCGUGAGGGUCAUUGGAAACUGGGGAACUUGAGUGCAGAAGAGGAAAGUGGAAUUCCACGUGUAGCGGUGAAAUGCGUAGAGAUGUGGAGGAACACCAGUGGCGAAGGCGACUUUCUGGUCUGUAACUGACACUGAGGCGCGAAAGCGUGGGGAGCAAACAGGAUUAGAUACCCUGGUAGUCCACGCCGUAAACGAUGAGUGCUAAGUGUUAGAGGGUUUCCGCCCUUUAGUGCUGCAGCUAACGCAUUAAGCACUCCGCCUGGGGAGUACGGCCGCAAGGCUG
rnacentral:rRNA from 1 species